GACGAACGCUGGCGGCGUGCUUAACACAUGCAAGUCGAACGGAAAGGCCCUGCUUUUGUGGGGUGCUCGAGUGGCGAACGGGUGAGUAACACGUGAGUAACCUGCCCUUGACUUUGGGAUAACUUCAGGAAACUGGGGCUAAUACCGGAUAGGAGCUCCUGCUGCAUGGUGGGGGUUGGAAAGUUUCGGCGGUUGGGGAUGGACUCGCGGCUUAUCAGCUUGUUGGUGGGGCAGUGGCUUACCAAGGCUUUGACGGGUAGCCGGCCUGAGAGGGUGACCGGCCACAGUGGGACUGAGAUACGGCCCAGACUCCUACGGGAGGCAGCAGUGGGGAAUAUUGCACAAUGGGCGGAAGCCUGAUGCAGCAACGCCGCGUGCGGGAUGACGGCCUUCGGGUUGUAAACCGCUUUCGCCUGUGACGAAGCGUGAGUGACGGUAAUGGGUAAAGAAGCACCGGCUAACUACGUG
rnacentral:rRNA from 1 species